rnacentral:rRNA from 1 species
UACGUAGGGUGCGAGCGUUGUCCGGAAUUAUUGGGCGUAAAGAGCUUGUAGGCGGUCUGUCGCGUCUGCUGUGAAAAUCCGGGGCUCAACCCCGGACUUGCAGUGGGUACGGGCAGACUAGAGUGUGGUAGGGGAGACUGGAAUUCCUGGUGUAGCGGUGAAAUGCGUAGAUAUCGAGAGGAACACCUGCGGCGAAGGCGGGUUGCUGGGCUGACACUGACGCUGAAGCGCGAAAGCUAGGGGAGCGAACGGG